GUGGGGAAUCUUGCGCAAUGGGCGAAAGCCUGACGCAGCCAUGCCGCGUGAAUGAUGAAGGUCUUAGGAUUGUAAAAUUCUUUCACCGGGGACGAUAAUGACGGUACCCGGAGAAGAAGCUCCGGCUAACUUCGCGCCAGCAGCCGCGGUAAUACGAAGGGGGCUAGCGUUGCUCGGAAUUACUGGGCGUAAAGGGCGCGUAGGCGGACAGCUUAGUCAGAGGUGAAAGCCCAGGGCUCAACCUUGGAAUUGCCUUUGAUACUGGCUGUCUUGAGUUUGGGAGAGGUGAGUGGAACGCCGAGUGUAGAGGUGAAAUUCGUAGAUAUUCGGAAGAACACCAGUGGCGAAGGCGACUCACUGGCCCAAUACUGACGCUGAGGCGCGAAAGCGUGGGGAGCAAACAGGAUUAGAUACCCCGGUAGUCC
rnacentral:rRNA from 1 species